rnacentral:lncRNA from 1 species
GUAUGAAGCCGCUUUGGAGUGAGAGAAUGAGUUGGUACCCGCAAUUGCUCGCGGAGCUGAAUUGAGGCGUGGUUUGAAUUUCGCGGACGAAAUUCUUUUAAGGGGUGGAGAAUGUAACAUACCAGAUUUUGGUAUAAAAAUAAAAAUAAAUAAAAAUAGUGUGAGAUAUUAUUUUUAUUGGAUUUAGAGAAAUAAAACAUAAGUCAGAAAUGACUUGUGCUGAAAUCGGAAUGAAAACAGAAAAUUUAGAAUUUUCUGUUGAAAACGGGACAGAUAAAUUAGUAGAAAAUGUACAGUCUCAGAAAAUUAUGAAAACUGGAGGAUAAGUCAGAAAUAUUUUUAUGAGGCUAGAUUUAAAGUUUCAUCUCAUUCUGACACCUGGAAGGUGAAAAAUAAAAUCCGACAACUAUCUGAUAAAGAUUACAGUUCAAUACAGUUUUCGGUGACCAAACGGGGUCGAAACUGAAAUAUUAAAAUUUCUUUAGACUCGUUAAGUAAAACUGAAUAUGACUAUCAAAUUUGAGCUCAAACGGAUUGUAAUAUACCGAAAAUUCAGAAAAUAAAAAUAUUGAACUUUAGUCAAAUUGACCAAAGUGCGAGGACGGAACACUUCGGAAAGUC